UACGUAGGGUGCAAGCGUUGUCCGGAAUCAUUGGGCGUAAAGAGCUCGUAGGCGGCUUGUCGCGUCGACUGUGAAAUCCCGCGGCUCAACUGCGGGUCUGCAGUCGAUACGGGCAGGCUAGAGUUCGGUAGGGGAGACUGGAAUUCCUGGUGUAGCGGUGAAAUGCGCAGAUAUCAGGAGGAACACCGAUGGCGAAGGCAGGUCUCUGGGCCGAUACUGACGCUGAGGAGCGAAAGCGUGGGGAGCGAACAGG
rnacentral:rRNA from 1 species